UGAGGAAUAUUGGUCAAUGGCCGUAAGUCUGAACCAGCCAUGCCGCGUGAAGGAUGAAGGCGUUCUGCGUUGUAAACUUCUUUUAUUAGGGAAGAAACCUGAUUUUUCUAAAUCAGCCGACGGUACCUAAGGAAUAAGCACCGGCUAACUCCGUGCCCGCAGCCGCGGUAAUACGGAGGGUGCAAGCGUUAUCCGGAUUUACUGGGUUUAAAGGGUGUGUAGGCGGACUUUUAAGUCCGUGGUGAAAUCUCCGGGCUCAACCCGGAAACUGCCAUGGAUACUAUUGGUCUUGAAUAUUGUUGAGGUGGGCGGAACGGGUCAUGUAGCGGUGAAAUGCAUAGAUAUGACCCGGAACACCGAUUGCGAAGGCAGCCCACUAAGCAAUGAUUGACGCUGAGGCACGAAAGCGUGGGGAUCAAACAG
rnacentral:rRNA from 1 species